AUAAGCAAAAUAAGGGCGUAUGGGGGAUGCCUAGGCUCUCAGAGGCGAUGAAGGACGUGAUAAGCUGCGAAAAGCUGCGGGGAUUGGCACAUACGAAUUGAUCCGCAGAUAUCCGAAUGGGGCAACCCAAUACAUUGAAGAUGUAUUACUCCGAUAGGAGGGCGAACCCGCUGAACUGAAACAUCUAAGUAGGCGGAGGAGAAGAAAACAAUAGUGAUUGCGUGAGUAGUGGCGAGCGAAAGCGUAGGAGCCCAAACCAGAGUUGUUGCGGCAAUUUUGGGGUUGUAGGACCACGAUAUUUGAUGCUAAUUGAACUGGAACUACCUGGAAAGGUAGACGAUACAAGGUGAUAGUCCUGUACAGGUAAGAGAAGUUAUUGAUAGUGGUAUCCUGAGUAGGGCGGGGCACGUGAAACCCUGUCUGAAUUUGCCGGGACCAUCCGGUAAGGCUAAAUACUCCUGAGAGACCGAUAGUGAACCAGUACUGUGAAGGAAAGGUGAAAAGAACCGUGAAUAACGGAGUGAAAUAGAACCUGAAACCAUACGCUUACAAGCGGUCGGAGCCCUUUAAUGGGGUGACGGCGUGCCUUUUGCAUAAUGAGCCUACGAGUUACCGUUGCUGGCAAGGAUAAGUACUUCAGGUAUGGAUCCGUAGCGAAAGCGAGUCUGAAUAGGGCGCUUGAGUCAGUAGUGGUAGACGCGAAACCGUGUGAUCUACCCAUGGGCAGGAUGAAGCUGUGGUAACACAUAGUGGAGGUCCGAACCGGUUGACGUUGAAAAGUCUUCGGAUGACCUGUGGGUAGGGGUGAAAGGCCAAUCAAACUCGGAAAUAGCUCGUACUCCCCGAAAUGCAUUUAGGUGCAGCGCUGAUAUUGAGUUAUAUAGAGGUAGAGCUACUGAUUGGAUGCGGGGGCUUCACCGCCUACCAAUUCCUGACAAACUCCGAAUGCUAUAUAAUAUGAUCAGCAGUGAGGGCAUGGGUGCUAAGGUCCAUGUCCGAGAGGGAAAGAACCCAGACCAUCAGCUAAGGUCCCCAAAUGUAUGCUAAGUUGAACAAACGCGGUUUGUCUGCCUUGACAGCUAGGAUGUUGGCUUGGAAGCAGCCAUUCAUUUAAAGAGUGCGUAACAGCUCACUAGUCGAGCGGACGAGCAUGGAUAAUAAUCGGGCAUAAGUAUACUACCGAAGCUAUGGACAGAAUAUUCUGUGGUAGGGGAGCAUUCUAACAGGGCCGAAGGUGUAGCGUGAGCUAUGCUGGACUGGUUAGAAAAGAAAAUGUAGGCAUAAGUAACGAUAAUGCGGGCGAGAAACCCGCACACCGAAAGACUAAGGUUUCCUCAGCUAUGCUAAUCAGCUGAGGGUUAGUCGGGUCCUAAGGCGCACCCGAAAGGGGAAGUCGAUGGCCAACGGGUUAAUAUUCCCGUACUACUUGUAAUUGUGAUGGGGUGACGGAGUGAUGAAAGUACCGCCAACUGACGGAAUAGUUGGUUAAAGUACGUAACUAAAGGCCUUGUAGUAAAAUGCGCAGGGACUGGUGAAAUACGAUAGUACACGGCGUCUUCGGACAAAGUGAUAGUGUACCUAAGGGCUUCCAAGAAAAACCUCUAAACUUAGAUUACAAGUACCCGUACCGUAAACCGACACAGGUAGUCGAGGAGAGAAUCCUAAGGUGCUCGAGAGAUUCAUGGCUAAGGAAUUAGGCAAAAUAGACCUGUAACUUCGGGAGAAAGGUCGCCAGCAGCAAUGCUGGCCGCAGUGAAAAGGUCCAGGCGACUGUUUAUCAAAAACACAGGGCUCUGCAAAAUCGUAAGAUGAGGUAUAGGGCCUGACACCUGCCCGGUGCUGGAAGGUUAAGAGGAGAUGUUAUCUUCGGAGAAGCAUUGAAUUGAAGCCCCAGUAAACGGCGGCCGUAACUAUAACGGUCCUAAGGUAGCGAAAUUCCUUGUCGGGUAAGUUCCGACCU
rnacentral:rRNA from 1 species